rnacentral:tRNA from 1 species
GAGAAGGGUUGUGACAUACAGAAACUGCUAAUUAUCUGAGCCUAGAGUUAAAAUCUCUAGCCUUCUUA